rnacentral:rRNA from 1 species
UACCAGCACCCCGAGUGGUCGGGACGAUUAUUGGGCCUAAAGCAUCCGUAGCCGGUUCUACAAGUCUUCCGUUAAAUCCACCUGCUUAACAGAUGGGCUGCGGAGGAUACUAUGGAGCUAGGAGGCGGGAGAGGCAAGCGGUACUUAGUGGGUAGGGGUAAAAUCCGUUGACCCAUUGAAGACCACCAGUGGCGAAGGCGGCUUGCCAGAACGCACUCGACGGUGAGGGAUGAAAGCUGGGGGAGCAAACCGG